rnacentral:misc_RNA from 1 species
GGGGAGGUUAAAGAAUUGAAGGAAAAUGGAAAUUCUACACCAUGUAAAGAGAAUGAGGAGGGGGGUUUAGGUCCUCGAAAUGGGGGCGAGGAGCAUGUGGGUGAUGGGGUGGUUGAGCCUUCCAUUGAGGAACUUUAUGAGAAUGUGUGUGAGAUGCAGAGCUCUGAUCAAUCUCCAUCUAGGCAUAGUUUUGGAUCAGAUGGAGAUGAAUCAAGGAUUGACUCCGAGUUACGACAUCUUGUGGGGGGAG